AAUUAUCAAGCACACAAAAAAGAAACAAAUACUUUAAAAACACACACUGCUAUAAACAAUACAUUCAGGUAAGAAAUCUACUUAGCUCUAUUCAUGGAGAUUCAGCAGCUUACACAGGAUAAUUGAAUCAGCAUAACACACAGAACAAUGAGGUGAGUUCCUUGCCACAUGUUAAAUGGAUUUACAUGGGCACCUCUAAAGACACCUGGCUUCUUCCGACCCAGUCAUGAAACUGAAACUCUAGUUUCUGGAAACCCCUUGAAUAGCCUCCCAUCUGGUAUCCACCCACAGAGGUAACAUAACCAAUACCUAAUGGUCAUCUCUAGGAGGCGGAUACUACAUGUGGUCUUUUGUGAAAGGAAGUGACUUAAGAAUUCUCAAUACCUUCCUAAAGCACAUGUCUCAUUGACUAUGCGGCAGCCAUCUUUAUUCACUCGACGUCACAGUGCUCACUAGGCCACCUAUAGGUAACUUCCUCCCUAAAGCACAUGUCUCAUUAAAUAUGCAGCAGCCAUUUUCUUGCUCUUAAUGUCACAUAGCUCACUACACCCCCUAUAGGUAUCAUAAGUUAUUGCACAUGAAUGGGAACACAAUAAUAGAAC